CCUACGGGAGGCAGCAGUAGGGAAUCUUCCGCAAUGGACGAAAGUCUGACGGAGCAACGCCGCGUGAGCGAUGAAGGCCUUCGGGUCGUAAAGCUCUGUUGUCAGGGAAGAACAAGUAUCGGAGUAACUGCCGGUACCUUGACGGUACCUGACCAGAAAGCCACGGCUAACUACGUGCCAGCAGCCGCGGUAAUACGUAGGUGGCAAGCGUUGUCCGGAAUUAUUGGGCGUAAAGCGCGCGCAGGCGGUUCCUUAAGUCUGAUGUGAAAGCCCCCGGCUCAACCGGGGAGGGUCAUUGGAAACUGGGGAACUUGAGUGCAGAAGAGGAGAGCGGAAUUCCACGUGUAGCGGUGAAAUGCGUAGAGAUGUGGAGGAACACCAGUGGCGAAGGCGGCUUUCUGGUCUGUAACUGACGCUGAGGCGCGAAAGCGUGGGGAGCAAACAGGAUUAGAUACCCUGGUAGUCCACGCCGUAAACGAUGAGUGCUAAGUGUUAGGGGGUUUCCGCCCCUUAGUGCUGCAGCUAACGCAUUAAGCACUCCGCCUGGGGAGUACGGCCGCAAGGCUGAAACUCAAAGGAAUUGACGG
rnacentral:rRNA from 1 species